UUGGGGUGAGGUAGUAGGUUGUAUAGUUUUAGGGUUAUGCCCUGCCUGUCAUAUAACUAUACAAUCUACUGUCUUUCCUGA
rnacentral:pre_miRNA from 1 species